rnacentral:lncRNA from 10 species
UGACUGCUGGGUGAAAAUAUGGAAGUUGUUUUUUCUUCUGCAUGCAUGGAUGAACUUCCCAUAUGAACAAGUCGAGUAUGCUUAAUGAGUCAUGGAAGAGCUUGGAUGCCCUCACCUGGAGCUUGGAAUCUUCAGGAUGCAGCAACUAGAAUGGAUGGCUUUGUUUUACCUUCAGCCAUUAUAUCAGGUGUCAUCAAUUUCUUGAUUCAAUUAGUUCUCACUUAUACAUAGUAAUGCCUAUCGACUUCUUAAUUCACUUCUACCCGUGUGACCAGAUAACUCCUUUUUUCCUCUUCCUUCUGUUGGUGGCUGUGAUCAGGGUAUCAGGGGUUGGGGUUGCAACGUGUGUAGAAGGGAAUGAGGCCUGGGUAAAGAUUCAAGAAAAGGCAUUUAGUUCUUGCUCAGCCCCAUAUUGCCUACGUCACUUAAUUUUCAGAGUUUUAGCUUCUUUACAGUUUCAAUCAGCAUAGUAUAACACCUGCCUGAAGGGCUCACAAUAUGGCUGUGAGGAACAAAAUUAGUUGAGUAUGUCAUCAUAUGUGAGGCAGCUGAAAAUGAAAGAUUCCCAGUAGCAGUAGGGGCAAAUGAAGAACUCUGGAAAUUAGACAUGCCUAUUGAGGUGGUAUAAGUGCUGUGUGUACUGACCUAGGCUAAGGAACAUUUUUUCCAUGAAGUAGGAGAAGAGAUUGUUCACUUUCAAGAGUUAGGGGCCACGAGUUGCAGAACGGUGUAAAGGUUUAAGGAAAGUGGAAAUAUUGAGUCAUUUCUAGGAAUGUAAGUUUCUUGGAUAGAGUUACCAGAUAAAUCACAGGAUAUAGGGUUAAAUUUGAAUUCGAG